rnacentral:lncRNA from 1 species
UUGUGUCCUAAAUUCUGAUUCCAGUUCCCAAGUCGCCUCCCUAGGCGUGUGGUUCUGCCACAUGACUUUUACAAAUGAUAUUUCCCGGUUGCGGAGUAUUCUACUUUCUCGGUCCGUGAUACUGACCGGUACUUCUUCAUAAGACAAGUCCUCUCGGAGUGAAAGCGGUUCAUGAGCCACGACAUGAGAAGGGUCCGGAUUGUACUUGCGUAGCAUAGAUACAUGAAACACAUUAUGAACCCGG